UCUCGGAAUUUUUAUGGCGUACCCUGCAAUAGCAUGUUUGUUGUUAUGGCUGUUUUUAUUUCUGUUAAGAAGGCAAUCCAGCUAAGAGAUAGAGUUUCAGUGACAUGAAGAGUGUGAAGUGAACCACCUAUCACCAUGCUACUAUAACACUUCAUGACACUUUCUUUAGCAUCAGGAAAUGUAUCUCAACAUGAGGAGUAAGACUGUU